rnacentral:rRNA from 1 species
CUGCGCCACGAGUGGCAACCACUUUUAUUGGGCCUAAAGCGUCCGUAGCCGGUUUUGUAAAUUCUUUGUGAAAUCGUCAAGCCUAACUUGACGGUGUGCAGAGAAAACUGCAAGACUAGGGACCGGGAGGAGUCAGAGGUAUUUUUGGGGGAGCGGUAAAAUGCUAUAAUCCCAAAAGGACCACCUGUGGCGAAGGCGUCUGACUAGAACGGAUCCGACGGUGAGGGACGAAAGCCAGGGGAGCGAUCCGGAUUAGAGACCCGAGUAGUCC